rnacentral:rRNA from 1 species
GAUGAACGCUGGCGGCGUGCUUAACACAUGCAAGUCGAACGGAAAGGCCCAAGCUUGCUUGGGUACUCGAGUGGCGAACGGGUGAGUAACACGUGGGGGAUCUGCCCUGCACUUCGGGAUAAGCCUGGGAAACUGGGUCUAAUACCGGAUAGGACCACAUUUUGGAUGGUGUGGUGGAAAGUUUGUCGGUGUGGGAUGAGCUCGCGGCCUAUCAGCUUGUUGGUGGGGUAAUGGCCUACCAAGGCGUCGACGGGUAGCCGGCCUGAGAGGGUGUACGGCCACAUUGGGACUGGGAUACGGGCCAGACUCCUACGGGAGGCAGCAGUGGGGAAUAUUGCACAAUGGGCGCAAGCCUGAUGCAGCGACGCCGCGUGGGGGAUGACGGCCUUCGGGUUGUAAACUCCUUUCGCUAGGGACGAAGCGUUUUUGUGACGGUACCUGGAGAAGAAGCACCGGCUAACUACGUG